GUACAUACAGGAUGUGGCAAUUCUAAAUGUUCGAGCGAGACGAUCCUUCUCCACGCGAUGAGAAUUAGAGAAGUGAAGGAAAUGUCGAGGACGUUUAUUUCUUAGAGAAAACUCAACGGGACUUGUCAAUUUACGAAGGGAACCACGUGUCGUUAUACAUAAUGAGAAAUAACGUAACGCCAUAACCUAUCCUGUGCUAUUCCGCUGUGGCAAGAAUGCCGGCACUUGGAAGACAUCCUAGUAGUACGAUAAUGCGGAAGGCGAUCACGUCGUCCCCUCACGUUUUCCAUCUUCACGCGGUGAUAGACGUGAAUCUACUCGGAAGUGUAAAAAAGCCGGAAAGAAUGCCAUAGUGGGCGAUUCUGUACGGGGUGUGGUAUCACUGCAUAGAAAUUUAUAUGGCUGUAGAAUAAUACCGUCCACGCAUAUGGUGGGCCUUAUCUUACAAACUCCUGAUCGAUGAAUUCGAUAUCCUGCUUCGGAAGACGAUGAUAACCAUGAAGUCGUCAAAGUCACACUUCAAUAUUUCAUACGACCUUCAAGAUGCAAUAGGGCGGCUGUUCAAAUUGAUAUAAUAAGAUCGUCCAAGGAUAUUACUUAUUCAAUGUAACUGGUAUACUUCUCUUCCUUACCCUCUAUACGAGCAGAAACGUUCCUUUCGUCCUCUUAUCUGCUACAUUAGUAUAGAUAGCCUUGCCGUUCGCGAUGCUGAGAUACGCAGCUUUCUCUACUUUCGCUUAUGCGACAUUUUAAGGUGGUGUAUCCCUGUGUAGUUUGCAGACAGACUAUUUAUCGCGCGGUAAGGUGGCCGUUAAAAGGAUGUAUACGAAUUUUGCGUGUCAUCCAUUAAUAAGACUCCUUCGAACAGUGACGUGCAGCCUUUCAUCGUCGAGUUAACAAAUAAUGAGUUACAAAAUCAGCCAUUGUUUCUGAGAACCGUGGACAUCUUGUUCAUCACUGGGAAACCAACGAAGGCCAUAUCAAAAACAUACGACCAGUCCUUUCGCUUAUGUCAGGAGUCAACUAGGUCUUUGGUCGUGGAACUGAUCGUAUUUCAAUAUUCGGAUAGCGGUAACACAGUCAAGUUUAUCCAGAGGUACCAACUAUGAAAAACAAUACAGGUAACACAAGAUACAUAAAAUACAAUAGAAGAAU